ensembl:lncRNA
AUAUUUUAUAAUAGUGAUUUUAUAAUUAAAAAAAAAGAGAAUUUGUGCAGAAUUUGAAUGCUUCUCAGUAAAUCUGCAGCAACCUUAUCAUUGUGCAGCGAAUUCAAAUGCUUCUCAUUGGAUCUUGCAGCUCUGUUGCAUCUGUGUCGCGAAAUCAACUCUACAAGUUUGUUUGUGUCACGGUCCGAGCUGAGAAAUGGUCUGUUGCAUUUGAGAAACAUCAAAUGGCAAACGAAAUGAAAGCGAAACUAAACUGCGCUGUUUCAGCUGCGCAGCUUUUUGAUGUUUCUCAAAUGCAACACAAAUGGCAGCGCUUAUGAGUUGGAUACCUCGGUGGUUGCACCAGUGCGACUACUCACAAAAAUUAGUCGCAUCGGCAGAAAAAAUGGUCGCAAAAUGCCCUGAUAUGUGUGUGUUCUAUGUAUAUUUAUUAUGUAUAUAUAAAUACACACACAUACAGUAUAUACGAUUAAUCGCGAUUUGACAGCACUAAUAAAUAUAUAUUUAAUUUUGGUUUACCUUAGAUUUAUUCUGUGGGCCUAACACCGUGUCUUGUGAUGAAUUCUGUGGUUCCUGAUUCUGAUUUCUGUGAAGUUAAAGUUUUUUUGUUUUAGGAAAUGAGACAUGCUGUUUGCCUUCACUGGUUUCUGCUUCCUCACUUUUAUUUUGUUUCUCAGAUGCUGUAUUCUUCUGGCCUGUACAAGCAGACUGCGGCUUCUGACUGUGUUCAACCUUCACUGAAGAAUCGCCACUGGAAUCGUGAUUCUUCUAAAUAAACAAACAUAAAUGCUCAUCAAAUACAGUGACUCCAUGUUUGGGAUUUCCAGUACCAAUCCAACAUAUUGGUCCAGUUAACCAAUCAACUAUGGCCUAUCUGAGAUUGUUAUGUGUUAGCUAAUAAAACAUGUCUGCCUGCCCUGCCCUAAGCUUUAGCUCUGUCUAAUUCCAGCUCUCAAAUUUAGAGAGUAGGUAAAAUUUAUUAUUUGUUUCACUUUAUUUAACAAUAAAUUUAUCAUUUCUACAUAAAUAUAUAUUUAAUUUUUGUUCACCUUAGGUUUAUUCUGUGGGCCAAACACCAUGUCCUGUGUUGAAUUCUGCGGUUUCUGAUUUUGAUUUCUGUAAAGUUUAUUCUGUGGGCCAAACACCAUGUCCUGUGUUGAAUUCUGCGGUUUCUGAUUUUGAUUUCUGUAAAGUUAAAGUAUGUUUUGACAUUUCAAUUAAAAUGACAUGAGAAACCUAGUUUAAAAAACAAGAAGCAUUUAUCAAAAUACGUAAAAAGAUUUGCAUACUUUUUCGUUGUAGGAAAUGAGACAUGCUGUUUGCCUUCACUGGUUUCUGCUUCCUCACUUUUAUUUUGUUUUUCAGAUGCUGUAUUCUUCUGGCCGGUACAUGCAGACUGCAGCUUCUGACUCUGCUCAACCUUCACUGGUAAAUCUCCACUGGAGCUGUGGUUGUUCAGUGCUCCCACAACAUGAUCAUCGGUCUCUCUUUGAUUUCCUGUGCUGCUCUUUAUGUUUGCAUUCCGGUCCAUAUCACCAUCUCGAUCUAGAGUAGUUUGUUUUCUUUUAGACACACUCUUUUGUCCUUUAUUUUCAGAUUUUUCUUUAUCUUCUUCAUCUUUCUGAUUUACUUCCAUGGUCACUGCUGGAGAAGCUUUGUCAGUGCUAAUGCUGAUCAGCUCUUGGGUCAACUGCAACUUAGAUGUUUCUGUCGUUUCAGGUGCUACACAUCUCUCUUUGCUACUAUUAGGCUGCUCAUCAGACUGACUUAAAGCAGCAUCUAUGGGUAAAGCCGAGACAGCAUGCUGUUUUAGCUCAGCAGUUUCAGUUUCUGGUAGGCUCAGAUGAGAGGAUGAUUCAGCCGGUUUAGGCAUGUCAUCUACAGUGCAGUAAGAGCCAUCACUGUCAGAAGAUUGGUCUUCCUCCAUUUUCUUUUCUUUUUCAGUCAGCGAUAUAUCAGAGAGAUCUGAGGUCAGAGAUGAAGGGCCCUCUGCACCACCUGCUUUUUUCUUCUUCUUUCUUUUCUGUAUAAGCACGAUGAGAAAAAAAAUUUGCAUUAUAAAUUACAACAGAAUUUCAAAAUAAGUAUUACACAUAAAAAUAUAUAUAUAAUUUUUUUAUGUGAAAUAUAUAUAUAUAUAUAUAUAUAUAUAUAUAUAUAUA